rnacentral:rRNA from 1 species
UACGGAGGGAGCAAACGUUGUUCGGAUUUACUGGGUGUAAAGGGUGCGUAGGCGGCCCUGUGUGUCAGGGGUGAAAUCCCACGGCUCAACCGUGGAAUUGCCCUUGAAACUGCAGAGCUUGAGUCCGGGAGAGGAAGGUGGAAUUCCUGGUGUAACGGUGAAAUGUGCAGAUAUCAGGAAGAACACCCGUGGCGAAGGCGGCCUUCUGGCCCGGAACUGACGCUGAGGCACGAAAGCUAGGGUAUCGAACGGGAUUAGAUACCCCGGUAGUCCUAGCCGUAAACGAUGUCCACUAGGUGUCGGAGGUCCUACCCCUUCGGUGCCGCAGCUAACGCAUUAAGUGGACCACCUGGGGAGUACGCUCGCAAGGGUGAAACUCAAAGGAAUUGACGGGGGCCCGCACAAGCGGUGGAGCAUGUGGUUUAAUUCGAUGCAACGCGAAGAACCUUACCCGGGCUUGACAUCCAGGUGACAGGUGUGGAGACACACCCUCCUUCGGGCACCUGGGCAGGUGCUGCAUGGCUGUCGUCAGCUCGUGUCGUGAAAUGUUGGGUUAAGUCCCGCAACGAGCGCAACCCUUGCCCUUAGUUGCCAGCACGUAAUGGUGGGAACUCUAGGGGGACUGCCGGUGAUAAACCGGAGGAAGGUGGGGACGACGUCAAGUCAUCAUGGCCCUUACGUCCGGGGCUACACACGUGCUACAAUGGCGUGUACAGAGGGCUGCGAACCCGCGAGGGGGAGCCAAUCCCGCAAAGCACGCCUCAGUUCGGAUUGCAGUCUGCAACUCGACUGCAUGAAGUCGGAAUCGCUAGUAAUCGCGGAUCAGCAUGCCGCGGUGAAUCCGUUCCCGGGCCU